CUCUGACAGUUAGCUAGGACGCUCCAUAUUGCUCACAUCAGCCUGAUAAUCAGGGUUAAUGGCCUUUUUUUUUUUUACUUUUAUGAUGCUUCUUUCUUCAUCGCAUAUAAGACAGUGACCUGUGACAAACUGAUAUGUUGGUGCUAUGCAGGGAGAACGAUAUUUCUUUCCACAUCGAAACACAGUUGACCAGCAGUAUUCGCGGGGGUUAGGAACCACGAUCGCCCACAAAUAGCAGCAAUCCGCAAGUAUUCUGAUCCAUCGAAUGGUGCCAGAGUGAGAGUGAUGAUGUCAGAGACCAUUUACUGAGGUGCAGUCUUGCUUUUGGAUGAAAGAUGACACUGAUGUGAUAAUGAGAACCUCACCCUGUAACUCCUGAAGAAGAAAAAAAGUACCGGCCUUUACAAACUGCUGUGUCAUCAGAUAUCAGACAGCAAUGCACACUGUCUGCUCACCCUAUAUCUGUAAAUAAAACCAUUAAUUAGCCUGC
ensembl:lncRNA